GUAAGUUGAAUGAGAAUUUGAAGGGUCUCCCCAUUGAAAUACAUGGGAAAUUUUUGUUGAAUAAAGUUGAAUAAAAUUAAAAAUAUAAAUGUUAAAAAUGAGAAAAAUAGAAGCAAUGUUGUCCAAAAUAAUAGGAAUCUAACGAUGUUUGAAUGGUUUUUCUAAGUUGAACGGUUUUGAAGGAGUAGGCUUUCAAAAAACGUACGGAAUACAGAAUAAAAUAUAAUAAUAAAGAUUAGAAGAACAAUACUGUGAAUGCUUUUCAAGCAUUCACACUAACUAGAAAGUGCAUUUUCUGAAGAAACUGCAGUGUGAAUGCUUGAAUCUGAAUGUAUGCACUGAAAUGAAUUAAUUGCUGAAUUUUGAGUUAAAAAUAUUGAAUGAGAUUAAAAAAAAAACAAAAAAAAAAAAUGAAUUUAACCUGAAAACAAAAGUGCUGAACUGCUAAAAGCUGAAGGUUACACAGAAGAAGGAGUUGGAAAAAAACUGAAAAUGUUUUAAAUGUAAAUUAGAAAACCCUAAGAAAUGAGAAAAGAACAUUUAGAGUCAGAAAACAUCUGAAUGAAUAUUAAAAGGUCAUAUUCUUUGAAUCACUGAAUGACUCAAAUGUGAUCCCUCCACUUUGAUCCACACAGUUUAAAAAGUUUAAAUGCCUGAGCUUUGAAAGAUACGGUGUUGGAAAGAGAACAAUAAUGGCGACAAUUUGAGGGUAAAAUGAUGGCUGUAACACUGUGGACACAGCAGCAAUUAAAAAAAAAACAAAAAAAACCAAACGAAUUUAACCUGAAAACAAAGGUGCUGAACUGCUAAAAGCUGAAGGUUACACAGAAGAAGGAGUUGGAAAAAAACUGAAAAUGUUUUAAAUGUAAAUUAGAAAACCCUAAGAAAUGAGAAAAGAACAUUUAGAGUCAGAAAACAUCUGAAUGAAUAUUAAAAGGUCAUAUUCUUUGAAUCACUGAAUGACUAAAAUGUGAUCCCUCCACUUUGAUCCACACAGUUUAAAAAGUUUAAAUGCCUGAGCUUUGAAAGAUACGGUGUUGGAAAGAGAACAAUAAUGGCGACAAUUUGAGGGUAAAAUGAUGGCUGUAACACUGUGGACACAGCAGCAGUUGAAAGAGAAGUGCUUAAGAUGAAUCUUGGUACAGUGGCAGGCAGAGCUCGUUAAGCAGGCAGGUGUGAGCCUGGUUGCUAUAGUGACCGCACCCAAUGGCUCCAUACACACGUACACAGACAUGCGCCUCACUUUUGCUGCUUAAAAUGAACAGAAAAGUCAGGCCGAAACAAAUCGCUCCCAAAUGAAAAGUAAAAGUCGUAUUGACAAAAUUCUUUCACCGUGAGCGACAGCAAUGUCUAGUCUACCUAAUUCUCAGUUUUCAUGCCUGUGGAGCUUAUUAUAUGGACGUGGUGACAGUGGAAAGACACCAUGCUCUUCUGAUUUUCAAACGAACCUUCUGAGCCAUUUUAACAUUACAGUCUAUGGAAGAGUUGGAGGGAGGAGGCUGUGCAUUGGUGACAUUUAUGAAAGAACCAUAACACCUAGGACAAUAGUAAACACAUUGGAUGAAAGAGGACAGCCAUGGCUACGUUUUGAGGGUAAAAUCAUACCUGUAGAGCAAACGCUGCGGACACAGCAGCAGUUUUAAAAAAGAUUUUAAGAUUAAUUUUUUUGCUCCUCUCACUCUAGCAGUUGAGCUGCCUCACUCUAGCCCCAACAUUCCGUCCCAUACACACCCAUUAUAAACUCUGAAACGGGUGAAAAAACAUCAUGAAACUUAAACUGGAACUGAAGAAAAAGUAUAAUAGAUAUUGAAAAGAUAAAUACAAGUUGAAUAAUUGAAUGUCUUGUCUUCGUUUUAAAGUUUGAAUGGUGGCUCUAUGUCAAUGUAUGUGGAAGUAGUAAGAGUUUAAAAAUGAGUAAGUUGAAUGAGAAUUUGAAGGGUCUCCCCAUUGAAAUACAUGGGAAAUUUUUGUUGAAUAAAGUUGAAUAAAAUUAAAAAUAUAAAUGUUAAAAAUGAGAAAAAUACAAGCAAUCAUGUCCAAAAGAAUAGGAAUCUAAUGGUGUUUGAAUAGUUUUUCUAAGUUGAAUGGUUUUGAAGGAGUAGGCUUUCAAAAAACGUACGGAAUAGAUAAUAAAAUAUAAGAA
ensembl:lncRNA